rnacentral:rRNA from 1 species
CGCUGGCGGCACGCUUAACACAUGCAAGUCGAACGAGAGAAGAGGAGCUUGCUUUUCUGAUCUAGUGGCGGACGGGUGAGUAACACGUGAGCAAUCUGCCUUUCAGAGGGGGAUACCGAUUGGAAACGAUCGUUAAUACCGCAUAACAUAAUUGAACCGCAUGAUUUGAUUAUCAAAGAUUUAUCGCUGAAAGAUGAGCUCGCGUCUGAUUAGCUAGUUGGUAAGGUAACGGCUUACCAAGGCGACGAUCAGUAGCCGGACUGAGAGGUUGAUCGGCCACAUUGGGACUGAGACACGGCCCAGACUCCUACGGGAGGCAGCAGUGGGGAAUAUUGCACAAUGGAGGAAACUCUGAUGCAGCGAUGCCGCGUGAGGGAAGAAGGUUUUAGGAUUGUAAACCUCUGUCUUCAGGGACGAAAAAAGACGGUACCUGAGGAGGAAGCUCCGGCUAACUACGUGCCAGCAGCCGCGGUAAUACGUAGGGAGCGAGCGUUGUCCGGAAUUACUGGGUGUAAAGCGAGCGUAGGCGGAUCGCAAGUCAGAUGUGAAAACUAUGGGCUUAACCCAUAAACUGCAUUUGAAACUGUGGUUCUUGAGUGAAGUAGAGGUAAGCGGAAUUCCUAGUGUAGCGGUGAAAUGCGUAGAUAUUAGGAGGAACAUCAGUGGCGAAGGCGGCUUACUGGGCUUUAACUGACGCUGAGGCUCGAAAGCGUGGGGAGCAAACAGGAUUAGAUACCCUGGUAGUCCACGCCGUAAACGAUGAUUACUAGGUGUGGGGGGACUGACCCCUUCCGUGCCGCAGCAAACGCAAUAAGUAAUCCACCUGGGGAGUACGACCGCAAGGUUGAAACUCAAAGGAAUUGACGGGGGCCCGCACAAGCAGUGGAGUAUGUGGAUUAAUUCGAAGCAACGCGAAGAACCUUACCAGGUCUUGACAUCGUAUGCAUAGCUCAGAGAUGAGUGAAAUCUCUUCGGAGACAUAUAGACAGGUGGUGCAUGGUUGUCGUCAGCUCGUGUCGUGAGAUGUUGGGUUAAGUCCCGCAACGAGCGCAACCCUUACUGUUAGUUGCUACGCAAGAGCACUCUAGCAGGACUGCCGUUGACAAAACGGAGGAAGGUGGGGAUGACGUCAAAUCAUCAUGCCCCUUAUGACCUGGGCCUCACACGUACUACAAUGGCUGUCAACAGAGGGAAGCAAAGCCGCGAGGUGGAGCGAACCCCUAAAAGCAGUCUUAGUUCGGAUUGUAGGCCGCAACCCGCCUACAUGAAGUCGGAAUUGCUAGUAAUCGCAGAUCAGCAUGCUGCGGUGAAUACGUUCCCGGGCCUUGUACACACCGCCCGUCACGCCAUGGGAGUCGGUAACACCCGAAGCCUGUAGUCUAACCGCAAGGAGGACGCAGUCGAAGGUGGGAUUGAUGACUGGGGUGAAGUCGUAACAAGGUA